UAAUAAAGAAACAAAACUAAUUUAUUAAUAUUUUAUUCGCUAAUUUAUAAAAAUCAAAUUUUAUCAUUUUAAAGCAUUCAUUUGAUCAAACAAAAUAUUUUCGUCUUCCAUCGAUCUUUCAAAUUUGCAAAUCAAAAGGGCUAUACGGAUUGAUAAACCCGGCGAAGGCCGGGUAAAAGAGCCGAAGGCCCGUUAAAGGGGCGACCCCAGGCUUUAUGUAUGGACCCCCUCUAAGGAAAAUUCUUAACUACGCCACUGUCACAGACAGAUAAUUAUCAAAUAUUUUGAAGAAUCAUCUAUCACCUAAUAUGGUUAAAUGACAUGUAAAUGAUGUGAAAACCCAAUAGGAGCAAAGUUAUAAGUGUCGAUUGAUAUACUAAACAGUUCAUCACCACUAUUCUAAAGAAUAUUUACUAAAUUAGCAGCUGACUUUAAAAAGAAAAUGUUAUGGGCUAAUCCUUAUCUCAGCAUACUUAGCUUUUUCUAAAAAAAACUCGCAGUCCCGUUUAAUGGAUAGCUUCGAAAACCAAGAAAUUCUUUCCGAUAUUUAUCAAAGAUUCAAAGUGAAUGAAUACAAAACGAUUGCUGAGCUUCGACCAAUUUAUCGAUGAAGAUAUUCCUUAUUAAUAAAUUUAAAAAAUUUCUUAACUCUUGUAAAUUUGGC